UACAUCUCUCCAAAAAAAAAUGGCUCUCCUUCCACUUCAUCACCUCGACAACAAGGAGAACCUCGUCCCUGCUUCGGCUCUCGCCAUUCGCGGUGCUCCGCAGAGCAAGAAGAUGAGGCGGAAGAGGACGAUGCGGAAGAGAACUCCACUCGAGGAUAUCACCCACCUGUUCCUCCCGCAAUGCCGACGCGAGCCGCUUCCUCCGCUCUCGCGCGACGUCGCGACGUCUCGCGCGCCGCCGCCGAAGCGAAGAGCUGCGGCCCGCAGUGCAGUGGCAGCUUGUCGCGCGUCUCUCCGCAAGGAAUUCAGAUGAAUGUGCUGAGUAGAUGUGACCAUCGUCUUAAGUUUGUCGAUUGGAAAACACAUUUAAUUCCAUUGUUCUGAUUCGUGAGUGCUUUUCACAUUUUCUUUCAAAAUUUUCACUUGCUAGUAUGUCCUUAUGGAUAUGAAAAAUGUAAGUUGAGAUCAAAUAUUUGUCUAGU
rnacentral:lncRNA from 1 species